GGGAUACUGGGAGCAACAUGGCCUUCCCACAGACUCCAAGAGAUUUGCAGUGCUGACCAUAAAGGCCCUGCUUUGCCAUCUGGAGUGUGAGGAUGUGGUGGUUUCGAUGGAACGUAAGCGUGGCUGGGACACGCUCCUCAGGCCUGACACCCACCACUACGCAGUGGGUCUGCUGGCCAGGGAGAUGCGCCGUGCCUCGAGCCCCUUGAAUUCCUGGAUUGCCCCCUGCCUGCUGGAGCUGCUGAGCAGGGAGAAGCCCCGCUGGGAGCUUCCCGCCAUGGCCUUCCUUGUGGAGGUCCUCGACUGCCUGGACAUGACCGAGUGGAG